rnacentral:rRNA from 1 species
GACAGAGGGUGCAAACGUUGUUCGGAAUUACUGGGCGUAAAGCGCGUGUAGGCGGCUAAGUAAGUCGGGCGUGAAAUCCCACGGCUCAACCGUGGAAGUGCACUCGAAACUGCAUAGCUAGAGUCCUGGAGAGGAAGGUGGAAUGCCUGGUGUAGAGGUGAAAUUCGUAGAUAUCAAGCGGAACACCGGUGGCGAAGGCGGCCUUCUGGACAGUGACUGACGCUGAGACGCGAAAGCGUGGGGAGCAAACAGG